UGGGGAAUUUUGGACAAUGGGCGAAAGCCUGAUCCAGCAAUGCCGCGUGUGUGAAGAAGGCCUUCGGGUUGUAAAGCACUUUUGUCCGGAAAGAAAUCCUUGGCUCUAAGUACAGUCGGGGGAUGACGGUACCGGAAGAAUAAGCACCGGCUAACUACGUGCCAGCAGCCGCGGUAAUACGUAGGGUGCAAGCGUUAAUCGGAAUUACUGGGCGUAAAGCGUGCGCAGGCGGUUUGCUAAGACCGAUGUGAAAUCCCCGGGCUCAACCUGGGAACUGCAUUGGUGACUGGCAGGCUAGAGUAUGGCAGAGGGGGGUAGAAUUCCACGUGUAGCAGUGAAAUGCGUAGAGAUGUGGAGGAAUACCGAUGGCGAAGGCAGCCCCCUGGGCCAAUACUGACGCUCAUGCACGAAAGCGUGGGGAGCAAACAGGGUUAGAUACCCUGGUAGUCCACGCCCUAAACGAUGUCAACUAGUUGUUGGGGAUUCAUUUCCUUAGUAACGUAGCUAACGCGUGAAGUUGACCGCCUGGGGAGUACGGUCGCAAGAUUAAAACUCAAAGGAAUUGACGGGGUCAUAGCUGUUUCCU
rnacentral:rRNA from 1 species